AGAGUUUGAUCCUGGCUCAGGAUGAACGCUGGCGGUCUGCUUAACACAUGCAAGUCGAACGGUGUCUUCGGACACAGUGGCGGACGGGUGAGUAACGCGUGAGAAUCUGCCUUCAGGUCUGGGACAACAGAGGGAAACCGCUGCUAAUACCGGAUGUGCCGAGAGGUGAAAGCUUUAGUGCCUGAAGAUGAGCUCGCGUCUGAUUAGCUAGUUGGAGGGGUAACGGCCCACCAAGGCGACGAUCAGUAGCUGGUCUGAGAGGAUGAUCGGCCACACUGAGACUGAGACACGGCCCAGACUCCUACGGGAGGCAGCAGUGGGGAAUCUUGGACAAUGGGGGCAACCCUGAUCCAGCGACGCCGCGUGGGUGACGAAGGCCUUCGGGUUGUAAACCGCUUUCAGCAGGGAAGAAGCGAAAGUGACGGUACCUGCAGAAGAAGGACCGGCCAACUACGUGCCAGCCGCCGCGGUAAUAC
rnacentral:rRNA from 1 species